UACGAAGGGGGCUAGCGUUGCUCGGAAUCACUGGGCGUAAAGGGUGCGUAGGCGGGUCUUUAAGUCAGGGGUGAAAUCCUGGAGCUCAACUCCAGAACUGCCUUUGAUACUGAAGAUCUUGAGUUCGGGAGAGGUGAGUGGAACUGCGAGAGUAGAGGUGAAAUUCGUAGAUAUUCGCAAGAACACCAGUGGCGAAGGCGGCUCACUGGCCCGAUACUGACGCUGAGGCACGAAAGCGUGGGGAGCAAACAGG
rnacentral:rRNA from 1 species